UGUGAUCGAUCUCCUUUAUAGUUUAAUGUGCACAUAGGAUAUCUAUUACUGCAAAGCAAAAGAAGAAGGCUGGCGUGCACGAAGUGCCUUCAAGCUCCUUCAAAUUGAUGAGGAGUUCAACAUCUUUCAAGGAGUUAAGUGCGUGGUAGAUCUCUGUGCCGCACCUGGUAGCUGGAGUCAGGUUUUGAGUCGUAAACUGUAUCUCCCAGCUAAACUAUCAUCCGAGCUUCCACUCAUCGUGGCCAUUGAUUUACAACCCAUGGCUCCGAUUGAAGGUGUCAUCUAAGUACAAGGAGACAUAACUAAUGCUAGAACAGCUGAAGUGGUCACUAUAUCUAAAGAUGACACAGUUGUUCUUGAUGGUGUUGGACUGCUGGUGAUAAGAAGUUUAGAGAAGAACGACGUUACUGUAGGCUAUAUAAUUUGUAUGUCUUCAUUUAAUUUUGGUGAAAUUUAGUUCACUGAAGUUCGGUUGUUUGCUGUUGAGA